CCGGGAGCGCGUCUGGCCCCUGUGACACCUUCUCGGUCCUGAACUGCACCGGGAGGGAAACUUCCUGUGUCCGGCUGGCAGGGAGCUGGCAUGGAGGGCAUUCUCAAAUCCUGAUGGGCUGUGGGACACCGGAGGUCUGCGGGCAGCGUGCCACGGCCACCCUGGGGAUGUCUGGAUUCCAGCUCACCUCCACGCCUGAGUGCCACCCUGCUGCUUCCUCCACUCAGCCAGCCCAUGAAAUCAUGACCCUGUUGGAGGCAGAUGCCAUUCAGCCCAAGGCAAAUGAAGAGCCCCAUAAUCCCAAGACCAAAUCCACUGAGACCCCCAGCACAACCGAGACUCCCAGCACAACCGAGACCCCCAGCACAACCAGGACCCACAGCACAACCGAGACCCCCAGCACAACCGGGACCCACAGCACAACCGAGACUCACAGCACAACCGAGACCCCCAGCACA